GGCAGGCAGCGGGCAACGAGCAGCUCGGGACGCGCUGCCCGCGGGGGGAACGCUCGGACCGGGGGAACAAAAGGCUCGGAGAGGCACCGGCUCCAUCCAGCCGCUCCCCGCCGGCCGGGAGGGAACCGGGGAGCGGCGGAGCAGCGGGCGGAGAAGCGCCGGGGCACAGCCGGAGCGCCCCGGGGCCAUUCCCGGUGCUGGUGCCGAUCCCGGUACCGCUCCCGGAGCCACUCCCGGGGCCAUUCCCGGUGCUGGUGCCGAUCCCGGUACCGAUCCCGGUGCCACUCCCGGGACCACUCCCCGGUGCUGGUGCCGAUCCCGGUGCCGCUCCCGGUGCCGCUCCCGGAGCCGCGGAGCAGCAGCUGCAGCAGCAGCAACGCUUCAAAGUGAAAUUCCGGAGGAAAUUUAAAGAGCAUCCGGAUCCGGAGAAGGACAGAAAGAAAGAGGAAGGGGAGAAGGAGGAGGAGGAGGAGGAGGCGGCGGCGCGGGAGGAUCGCGCAGCGGAGCCGGCGGGGAUGGGCAGGGAAUGAAUCCCUGUGGAGGCAGCGCUGGGAAGGAGCCCCAGAGCAGCUGAGAGGCCCCUGAGGAGGAGCUGCUGGAGGAGGGGACACCCCCUAACUGCCCUUACUGACAAAUGUCAGCAACUCGGGAGCAGCCAAUCUUCAGCACCAGGGCCCACGUCUUCCAGAUCGACCCCGCCACCAAGAGGAACUGGAUCCCGGCCAGCAAGCACGCCCUGACCGUCUCCUACUUCUACGAUGCCACCCGCAGCGUCUACCGCAUCAUCAGCGUGGGGGGAACCAAGGCCAUCAUCAAUAGCACCGUCACGCCCAACAUGACGUUCACCAAGACCUCGCAGAAGUUCGGGCAGUGGGCGGACAGCCGGGCCAACACGGUCUACGGGCUGGGCUUCGCCUCCGAGCAGCACCUGGCCCAGUUUGCAGAGAAAUUCCAGGAAGUGAAGGAAGCCGCACGUCUGGCCAGGGAGAAAUCCCAGGAUAAAACCGAGCUGACCAACCCUGCCCUGAGCAUCACAUCCCACCAGGUCCUGCCCAGCCCCAUCAUCAGCUCCAACGGGCCGGGGGAGGAUAAACUGUUCCGCAGCCAGAGCGCCGACGUGGAGAUCACCACCGAGAAGGAGAGGCUGAAGAAGAUGCUCUCGGAGGGCUCGGUGAGCGAGGUGCAGUGGGAGGCAGAGUUCUUCAGCCUCCAGGACAACAACACCAAGCUGGUGGCGGCCCUGCACGAGGCCAACGCCAGCGUGGAGCAGUGGAAGAAGCAGCUGGCGGCGUACCAGGAGGAGACGGAGUCGCUGCGCCAGCGGCAGAUCCAGGCAGAUGGGAAACGGUGUCAGGAAACGAGGCCGUGGGACUGGGGAGCUCCCCAGGAAAGCAAAGUGCAGAGCCACAGAAUUUCACCUUCCCUUGGGGUUUUUCUGGAAGGAAUUCCCAGUUUCCAGCACGGUCGAGGCCAGUUUGGCCCAGUUUGGGCAUCAGGGCGGCGUGUGGCUGCUGGCAGAGGGGUGGGGACGGCUCUGGCUGCAGCUGCGAGCUCGAUCCGAGCUGUUCCAGGGAAUGAGGGCAGCUCUGAGCUCCGGAGGGGCUGGGAGGUCUCAGCCCGUUGUGGGGUCUGGGCAGGGGCACUCGGGGCUCUGCUGCGAGGGCAGAGCCCUGGACAGCUGGGGAAGGGUUUGGGAGAGAGUUGGGGCUGGCUGGGAGAGGUUUUGGUAGAGCUGGGGAAGAUUUUGAGUGAUCUAGGGUUGGCUGGGAGAGUUUUGGGAGAGCUGGGAAAGGUUUUGGGUGAGCUGGGUCUGGCUAGGAAAGGUGAUCCCCUCAGGAUUCCCUCAGGAUCCCCAACAUCCCUCCCUCGGGAUUCCCUCAGGAUCCCCAACAUCCCUCCCUCAGGAUUCCCUCAGGAUCCCAAACAUCCCUCCCUCAGGAUUCCCUCAGGAUUCCCUCAGAAUUCCCUCAGGGUUCCCUCAGAAUUCCCAACAUCCCUCCCUCAGGAUUCCUUCCCACAGGAUCCCCUCAGGAUUCCCUCAGGAUCCCCAAAAUCCAUACCUCAGGAUUCCCUCAGAAUUCCCUCAGGGUUCCUUCAGAAUUCCCUCAGGAUCCCCAACAUCCCUCCCUCAGGAUCCCUUCCCACAGGAUUCCCUCAGGAUCCCCUCAGGAUCCCCUGGGCCUUGGCAGGCUCACAGAAGGAGCUGUGACUCAGUGUCACCGAGACUCUGUAACUCGGUGAAACUCCCAUUUUUUGUCCCUAAAUCAGAGCAUUUUGGUGGGUUCUGGCCACCACGCUGGUCCUGGCAGCUCCGGGGGCAGGAUCCCGCUCUGGGAAGAGCCGGAUCCGCUCCCUGUCAGGGAGAGCUCCUGGAGCUGCCUGCAGAGCUCGGAGCAGCCCCAGCACUGAAAUGCUUCUAAAAAUGAAUUCUUCUCAUCAAUAAUCCAAGGCACCGAGCCGAGUUUUCCAGGGCUGGGGAGAUGGGCAAACCCUUCCAGCUGAGCUGCAGCAGCUCCGGAGAUUUUGGAGAUCUCUGCCCAGAGGUGUAAAAACUGGAGCUGGGUUUUGGGGCUGGGGGCUCAGGUUUUGGGGCUGGGGGCUCAGGUGCUGGUGUCAGGCAGCUGGAGCGCAGAACUCCUGCAGAAAGCACAGACAGAUCUCUAAAGUGGUUUUUUUCUGAGCCACAAAGUGCUCCUGGGCGUGAUCCCGGCAGAGCAGAGCAGAGGGAAUUGUUUUCCUCCCAGCCCCACGGGAGCUGCUGCGAGCCAGGUGGCAGAGCUGGAGGCGCAGGGCACUCCGGAUUCCUGCGGCGACAGCAGCAAGGAGGAGCUGAGCCAGAGCCUGGAGGAGCUGGAGCUGCUGGUCAAGGCGAAGGACGAG